UGCCAGACUCCUACGGGAGGCAGCAGUGGGGAAUAUUGCACAAUGGGGGAAACCCUGAUGCAGCGACGCCGCGUGAGCGAAGAAGUACCUCGGUAUGUAAAGCUCUAUCAGCAGGGAAGAAGAUGACGGUACCUGACCAAGAAGCUCCGGCUAAAUACGUGCCAGCAGCCGCGGUAAUACGUAUGGAGCAAGCGUUGUCCGGAAUUACUGGGUGUAAAGGGAGCGUAGGCGGGGAUGCAAGUUGGGUGUCAAAACUACCGGCUCAACUGGUAGUCGCACUCAAAACUGCAGCUCUUGAGUGAAGUAGAGGCAGGCGGAAUUCCUAGUGUAGCGGUGAAAUGCGUAGAUAUUAGGAGGAACACCAGUGGCGAAGGCGGCCUGCUGGGCUUUUACUGACGCUGAGGCUCGAAAGUGUGGGGAGCAAACAGGAUUAGAUACCCUUGUA
rnacentral:rRNA from 1 species